AGAGUUUGAUCCUGGCUCAGGAUGAACGCUGGCGGCGUGCUUAACACAUGCAAGUCGAACGGGAAUUACUUUAUUGAAACUUCGGUCGAUUUAAUUUAAUUCUAGUGGCGGACGGGUGAGUAACGCGUGGGUAACCUGCCUUAUACAGGGGGAUAACAGUCAGAAAUGGCUGCUAAUACCGCAUAAGCGCACAGAGCUGCAUGGCUCAGUGUGAAAAACUCCGGUGGUAUAAGAUGGACCCGCGUUGGAUUAGCUGGUUGGUGGGGUAACGGCCCACCAAGGCGACGAUCCAUAGCCGGCCUGAGAGGGUGAACGGCCACAUUGGGACUGAGACACGGCCCAGACUCCUACGGGAGGCAGCAGUGGGGAAUAUUGCACAAUGGGGGAAACCCUGAUGCAGCGACGCCGCGUGAAGGAAGAAGUAUCUCGGUAUGUAAACUUCUAUCAGCAGGGAAGAUAGUGACGGUACCUGACUAAGAAGCCCCGGCUAACUACGUGCCAGCAGCCGCGGU
rnacentral:rRNA from 2 species